UAGGGCACCAACUGUACUGAUCUCUC
rnacentral:piRNA from 1 species